rnacentral:lncRNA from 1 species
AUGUACACACAUACUCAUUCUCACACACUCACACGCACUCACACCCACUCUCACAUGUACUCGCCCAGUCACAUACACUCUCACACACACUCACACCCACUGGCCCAGUCACAUACACACUGUCACACACAUGCACACACCCAUUUUCACUUACACACUCAUUCUUACACUCUCAUGCACUCACAGCCACUCUCUCACACGCACUCGCCCAGUCACACACACGCGUACACACACCCAUUCUCACACACUCACAUGCACUCCCCCAGCCAUAUACACUCACACACAUGCACACAUGCACACACACACAUGCACACACAUAGUCACUCUCUCACACGCACUUGCCCAGUCAUACACACAUGUACACACACACCCAUUCUCACACACUGUCAUGCACUCACACCCACUCUCAUAUGCACUCACCCAUUCACAUACACUCUCUCACACACUUACACUCACACACACUGGCCCAAUCACACACACUGUCACACACAUGUACACACCCCAUUUCACUUACACACUCAUCCUCACACACUCACAUGCACUCACACCCACUCUCUCACAUGCACUCGCCCAGUCACACACACACGUACACACACCCCCAUUCUCACACACUCACAUGCACUCCUCCAGUCAUAUACACUCAUACUCAUGCACACAUGCACACACACCCAUUCUCACACACUCACACCCACUCACCCAGUCACACACCCAUUUCACUUACACACUCAUUCUCACACACUUAGACUCACACCCACUGGCUCAGUAACACACUGUCACACACAUACACCUGCUCUCACACACACUUACACAUUCUCACACACAUGCACCCACAACCACUGGCCCAGUCACAUGCACACUCACAUGCACACAUCCAUUCUCACAUACCCUUACACACUCAUCCUCACACUCACACGUACUGGCCCAGUCACAUGCACUCUCCCCCCUACACGCCCGUUUUCAGAUGCAUGCUCAUUCUUACACUCACAUACACACACACUCAUCCUCACACACACUCGCCCAGUGACAUAG